rnacentral:lncRNA from 1 species
CAUUAUUUUACUUUAAACUACAAAGAAGAUGCACAUUUAAUGACACAGACAGUGAAAUAGUCACAUAAAAAUAGGCCUUUGGCCUCAGAACCAUGGUUUUAUGGAAGUCAAAGUUUGAAUCCUGAAUAUAUCUUAAUUUUUGAUGGCCCCAAUAGACAGCAUAUUAAAACUACAGCUUCCCAAUCUACUGAGCGGGUCAUUAGGGUUUCUGUUUCUCAGGAGUUAUUAGGCAGGAGAACAACUAUAUCCAAGCUACCAGGAGAUGCACAACUACUGAUAAUUAGAAAGAAAUAAAAUCAAUGACUAAACGAAUGUGCGGUUUACAAGCAAAGCAAGACUUAGUCUGGAAUCUGGAAGGAGGAAGAGAAAGUGAUGAUGAGCCAGUCCCGGUUUGGAACUCUGGAAUCCAGGUGACUGGAUCAUUCUCUUUCCCCGAGUUCCUUCACCAGUUUCUGUGUAUGGAGGAGACUGGAAAUGUCCACGUGCCUCCCUCAACCCCAAGGAGGAUAGGGAAGGGGAGUGAAUGAGAGCCCCAGGGCCUGCUUUAGGAUCGGGCAUGGCAAAAGGAAAGUGCCCCCUUGGGCCACAUAGACCAGUGGCCAGAUGAAGGAUGCUGCAGAGCUCAAGAGAGUCAGCCAGGGAGAACUACCAGGUCACUGUGGAGCUGCAAGAGGCCGCCCAGCUCAGCCCAGCCACGGGCUUCUGCAGGAGAGACCAGCACCCCUCCAGAUGCUGGCUGUUCCCUAAAAGUUACCAGUGCAGGAACAAGCCCAGUCUAGGCAUUUUGCAGCGGGGGACACCAUGUGGAACCAAGGACUCCUUCCCUUCCUUGAACAUCAUCUUGGGAAAGAGAAGAAGCAAGGACAUCUGAAAGACUGAACAUUUAUCCGAAAGCCAUCAAAUUAUCUAAGGACUCUGUUCACAUUUUGGGAUUGGCUUGAGAUUAUAGAAUUGACCUAAGUUUUCUGGUUCCCUCUUUCUGCUUGUAAGGGGAGAAGGGAAUGUGUAACAGAGUUU